AGAAAACGCAUGGGAAAAAAUCACUGCUCGAGUCAAUGCGUGCAACCCAGGGGGCGAAAAACGGACUUGGAGGCAGUUGAAAAUGAAAUAUAAAAAUAUAAUUCAAUCAGCCAACAGAAAGAGGGCAGAGGCCCGUAAAACAGGUGGAGGACCUGCACCACCACCUCUAACAGAGGCAGAGGAGAGGGCCCUUAGCCAAACAACA